rnacentral:rRNA from 1 species
UACGAAGGGUGCAAGCGUUACUCGGAAUUACUGGGUCGGUAAAGCGUGCGGUAGGUGGUUUGUUAAGUCUGAUGUGAAAGCCCUGGGCUCAACCUGGGAAUUGCAUUGGAUACUGGCAGGCUAGAGUGCGGUAGAGGAUGGCGGAAUUCCCGGUGUAGCGGUGAAAAUGCGUAGAUAUUGGGAGGAACACCAGUGGCGAAGGCGGUCCCCUGGGCCGGAACUGACGCUGAGGCGCGAAAGCGUGGGUAGCAAACGGGG